ensembl:snRNA U4 U4 spliceosomal RNA
AGCUUUGCACAGUGGCAGUAUUGUAGCUGAUGAAGUUUAUCCAAGGCACGAUUAUUGCUAAUUGAAAAAUUGAGGAAUAGUU